AGAUGAAAGCACGCAGCAAGAGUUUUUAAGAUUUUUCAUUGAACAGACUGAAAACAUAUGUUAAAUUAAUUGAAUGAUAAACAAGAUGAGUUCUCCAGCAUAAAAUGAAUCCAACAGGUGACUACCGCUAAGUUAAACUAAUGCUAACGGAUGUUCCCUGUGUAAAAUUUUGAAUCCAGAAUUACCUGCUGGAUGUAUAAAACCUAGCAAUCCGAUAAGGGCCUCGCACUCAGAGCUGGGUAAAAUUUAGUCUGAUUUGUGAGGCAGUAAGAAUUUGAGAUGCGAGGUGGUUGCAUUAGCACAGGAGACCUCAAUAAAUCACUACUGUUAUGGUAGAAAUGCUAUUCUGGGUCAGACUUCUUCCUUUUCCUAUGGAUAUAAUCAAAAUUUAGAGUAUUAGAGGUAUAUAUGGCCACUAUGUGGUAAAGCAACGUGUUUUAUUCACAUACGACCAAAAUCAUUUCAAAGCAAAAUAUGUGUUAAAAUAACACACAACAAUCUCACAAAAAAACUAAGUUUAAAACAGCAUCUAUUAGCUUAGCAAGUUUAAAUAUGACUGCAUUGCAUGCUAGGAGCAUAUCAAGUCUUGUGGACUUAGCUACCAAAAGGCAUAGGAUGCAAUAUAGAAAUCUGUUGACGACACUGCUUUCCUGUUCUGAUGAAAGGUUUGAUACUUAUCAAAUGACAGUUUCCUAAGAUAUAACUGGACAGUUGCUGACUACAGCCUUUUGGAUUGUUCAAGUUCUAAUUGAUCUCAGGUACAUAGCUGCAGAAAAUGUUGCAUAGCAGACUUCUGCUUCUCUCUUCAAAUUUCUUCAAAUGCCUUACAAAUCCAAAAUCUCAGAUAAGUAAAUAAAAGAAGUUGUUAAUACAGAAAUAUAGUACUAGAUGUUGCCAUUAAUUGAUCUGAUGUAGCUUCUUGCAGAUGCUUUUGUAUUGCAGCAUCAUAACUUGACUUAGUCUUAUAUAAUGACUGUAUAAAUUCACUUAUGACGUGCCUGAAAUUACAAUCUUCAGAGAACAUUUGCCAGUGUUAAGAAUUUUCACUGCUUGGAUUUGAGAAAGCUGUCCUAUUAAAAUGUGUUACUCUGAAUGUACAAAUGUAUAUACAUACAAGCAAACUCCUGCAACAGUAAACUACAAACGUUCUGGGUAAGAUGUGAGGGUGGAUUGAAAUGCUUAAGAGCUUAUUUUGGAGCCUUAUUCAUACUUAUUUCCACAUAUGCCUCAGAGAAAAUAGUCACAAAUUAUUCAUGCAGCAGAAUUUAGUCAGUUGUUAAGAAGUAUUUUGCUGAUGCAGAACUGAAAUUCGACCCUUUCAUCUCCUUCAUCUACAGUUAGAUUGCUUCUCCUUUGUUUGGCAUAUGUACUCCUUUCCAGUUGGAAAUCAUUAAACUAUUCAUGGUCUUGAUGGCUGUUGUCUAUCCCAAUAGAUUGCAAGCUCAGCUUGGUAAAAGGAGUUCUACUGUGAAAGUCAUUUCCUAAUAAUUUCCACUGACUGGCAAUUUCAUGUCUAUUUAAAACUAUGACAACAAACCCAUUGAUUACGAUGUCAAGCUGGUUCUGUUGCUGGUUGUUUUUUCUAAUUUUAUCAAACAUAUCAAUGAGGCAAUGACAAAUUCAAAACAGAAUCUACACAUACUAUGCAGUGGGUAAGAAUAAUGCUUUAUCUAUAUUUUCCUAUUCAGCUUGCUUUGGAAAAACAAAUUUCAUUCUUGUUAUGAUCACUAGAGGAUCAGAAGAGAGUGAGAAAUCUGCCUAGGCCUGAGCAUAUGGAGAAGAGAAGGUAAAAAAAAACACCUAUAUCCUGCUUUGCAGUGAAGAUAUGAAAGGAAAAAUUCAACAUCUCCUGAGAGGAAUGGAAGUAGAGAGACUCCUAGAAGCAACUCUUCUCAAGGCCUUCCAGAGAAACAUGACUCUGUAGAGAUGCUUUAGGAGGAGGACACGCAAGACUAUGCUGGAUACCCUAAGACCUCACAGCAAGUCAUUGAAAUGCCUGCAGUAUAUCUUGGACCCCUGAAAGAACAAACAAGUCAAGGAACAAGUGUGUGAACCAGGCUUGGAACAAGCAAAGCAUUUUAUAAAUGACAGAUGUGGAAGGUACCCUUGAAGUGUGCAAUUGCAGAAAAAAACUGAGUAUGAAUGUUUCUGUGCAGAAAGUAGUGAUGGCAUGUGAGUCUGAUCUCACAGAAGAUGGGUUAUGUUGUCAGUGCAAAAUAUACAUAGAUGGAAUAAGAUGAAUUAAGUAAAUAAACAGGAAGAGAACUGGGGAUGCUAAUAAAUUUAAA